AGGUUGGCCACCCCUGACAUGGAGUGACAUGAUCUUUAAGUACAAACAAAAAGUCAAUACAAUGUAUAAUGUAGCCUUCUACAGCACAGGUUUUCCAUGAACAGAGACACCUGACUUAAUUGCUGAGGCCUGCUCAUUAGUAAGUGUUGAGCUUUAUGCCAGUGUGCUAAAGGGAAGCUACACAGCUUGAUAGUUGCCUCCCCCUGCUGUGCCAGGUGAUCAUAGAAACUUUAUAUAUGCCUUAAAAACUGUCAAAGUCUAGUGAAAUCCUCAGAUUUCAUUAACUACUUCUCUAGUCUUUCACUUGGUGUUACAUGAACAAUGCAGAUAACCCUAAGUACAGAUAACCAAACGCAUAAUUUCAACACAUAGUUAAGAGUAAAGUCUCGGCAGUUGAGAGCUGCAGCUUCUCAGACUGUGGAAUGUGGUCAUGUAGCUUCCUAUAGCCGGGGAGUGCUAUUACCUUGGUUUUCAAACAUGCCCAGUUUCUGAUUGAGCUGGUGUUAUCUGUGUCUGACGGAGUGCAUUCUUAGAGAGGGUGUUACUGGAUGAACUUCUGAUAGCUCUUCAUUUCACUAAGUCCUUGUCUAUACUACAGAGUUUUGUCAACAAAAGGCAGCUUUUGUCGACAAAACAGUGGAUACGUACAUACUGCAAUGUGACUUUUGCCAGCAAAAAUACCCUGUUUUGGUGACAAAAUAAAACCACCUUGAUAUGAGAGACAAGGGUUUUUGCACAAAAUUUUUGUCGACAAAGUGCCAGGGUAGACACUAUGCUUGAUUUUAUCGCUUUAAUUGGCAUCCAGGAAGUGUCCCACAAUGCCCUUCCUGACCGCUUUGGUCAGCAAUUUGAACUCCACUGCCCUACGGCCACAUAAACAACCAUCCGCCCCUCCCCCUUAGAAGCCCCAGAAAUUUUUGAAAUUUCGUUUCCUGUUGGCUCGGCAUGGAGAGGUCUCAUCACAUCUUCCCAGGCGACCAUGACAUCUUAUCGCACCAAACACUCUCCCGUCUGGACCACUGCGGAGCAGCUGAAUCUGCUCAGUAUAGGGGGAGAGGAGGCUGUGCAGUCCCAGCUGCGCGUGAGCCGUAGGAAUUUUGAUACCUACGGGCAGAUCACUAAAGGAUUGUGCGAAACGGGCUAUGAUUGGGACACGCUGCAGUGCAGAGCGAAGAUAAAGGAGCUGAGGCAGGCGUACCAUAAGGCGAGGGAAGCAAACCAUCACUCCAGUGCUGCACCUAAGACCUGCCAGUUCUAUAAGGAGCUGGACACUAUCCUUGGUGACGACCCCACCUCCAUCACCAAGAGUCCCAUGGAUACUUCGGCGGGCCUGGAGGCGGUGGAAAGAGGACCUAACCCGGAAGAUGAAGUCAUUGAUGAAGAGGUGGAGUUAGAUGAUGUGGAGCUCCCGAUGGGGUGGCUCCGUGGGGCAGGCAGGCAGACAGGCACUGUUCUCCACUCCGGAGGUGUCUAGCCAGUCUCAGCAGUUGCUCUCUGGUGAGCAGGAGAGGAGACGCCUGUUUGUUGAGAUUUUGCUGUCCUUGAAGAUGGUGCGCUGGCUCACUGUCUGCAGGAGCAAGAGAGUAAGAGCUGGAAUCCACAGGAGGGAACAGAGCAGAAGCAGUUCUGCCAUGGCAGUCCUUAUCCCUUCUCUCCCCUGCUGACCUGUUUCCAGGUUUUGUAUGUGUUUCCUGCCUGCUUUUCCAUAGACACUGAAGAGCUGUGGAAGGGUAAAGCUGCUCCAGUGUGCAUUUCCUCCAGUCCAGCUAGUUGCUGCAGAAUAAAACAGUUUGUUAACGCUUCCAGAGUUGAAUUUAGAGGACAAAUGUGAGGCAGACUGUAACAUCCCAGACCUUGGACAAGAGCCACUGACUAAUUAAAGAGGCCUCCUAAUGGUCACUGGAAUGUAUCUGUCCUACUUACCCUGGGCAGCAGAUGAAUGGCACAUAGAGGCUGAUUUUAAUUUUGCAUUUUGCUAUCCAAGUGCAUAAUCCCUUUAAUCCUUCACUCCAUGGAUGAUGUUUUUUGUUUCUGUUGUUAAUUAAAUGGAGUCUAUACAGCCUCAGUGACUCAAAUUUUAGGACAAAUCUGUGCACUUAAAGAAGCAGGCUGGCCCAGGUCUUCUCAGGCAACAUGACAUUUAAAAGGACACUUUCAAGGUUAUUGCAUAGAUGAAUUGGCCUUUCCUGGCAGCCAUCCGUAUAGAAGCUUCCCUUCACCAUUCCAGAAGUGGAUUCUUAUUUAUCAAAUAAUUCUUAGUACUACAACAAAUACUAAUAAAUCAUCCCUAUGGUGUCUGAUUUACUGCAGGGCUGAUAGUGAUUGGAGUGGAAACCCUGCCUUCCUGAAAGGGAGAUGAUAAACAAGAGUAGGGACCGAACCAGGGUGAAGAGAGAAGGUAUUUGUGGAUCAGUUUGCUUAUCAUGGGGCACACAGCAAAAUGAACCUUACCUGCUGUAUCAGGGAUGCAAGAAUUAGCAAGGAGUGAAUUUGGAGUGGGGGAUAGGGACACAUCCACUCCUGGAAUUUUGAAGGGGAGACUUACAGUACAGGGUCACUCCCCAAGAAGUCAGUGUUUGGCCUCCUAUCCUUGUCCCUUUAAUAAGUUUGUAUUUUUUUUUACUAAACUAAUAAGUUUGUAUUUUUUUUAACACAGACAACACCAGAUGGAGACUAUUAAGAUGAGGCUGGAAAAUGUUAAUGGGGAAGGCCCGCAGAGAUGAGGUGUGGGGAGAAUGGGUAAGAACAGUACUGUACCUAGAAGGGUGUAUUGCUUGGUGGGGCCUAGUCUGAGCAGCUCUGCCAGAUUUUGGGUUGUGGCUGGCCAGCCUUUUUCUUAUGGUUCUGUAAUAAUGGGAACACAUCUGGCCUUUCUUUACUUUUAGAUUUUUAUAAACAGGCUCCAUGAUGAGCUCUGUGCAUCGUCGUUCUAUAAAAACCCAGCUGGGAUGAUGCACGGGAAGAGCGUUGUCUCGAAGGCAGCCAGGACACAAGAUGUGUAGGGUGGUCUAAAAGUUAGUUAGGAGGGACAUGUGGUUUUCUUCAGGGAAUAUUAGGUUUUAGUCCUACAUGUCACAGGGGCAUAAGCAACAUAUUUUUAUUUGGGGGUGGCAGAAUUUUGUCCACAUUUAAUAAAGUGAAAUAAAUGCAUUUCUGUUCCAAA